UACGUAGGGGGCAAGCGUUGUCCGGAUUUAUUGGGCGUAAAGAGCUCGUAGGCGGUUCCGUAAGUCGGAUGUGAAAAAUCUGGGCUCAACCCAGUGGAGCACCCGAUACUGCGGUGACUCGAGUCCGGUAGGGGAGUGUGGAAUUCACGGUGUAGCAGUGAAAUGCGUAGAUAUCGUGAGGAACACCAGAGGCGAAGGCGGCUACCUGGACAAUUGCUGACGCUCAGGCACGAAAGCGUGGGGAGCAAAAGGG
rnacentral:rRNA from 1 species